rnacentral:lncRNA from 1 species
AAAUGCAAACUAAUUACAUUCGCACCUCCAAGUCAUUUUCACGCAGUUAGGGGCCGUUUGAUUGGAUGUAGUUACAGAAACAGUAUAGUUGGAAAUACAUGCAGUUGCAAAUGCUGCAGUUAUAACUACGCCUAGUCUGUUUGGUUUUACGCAGUUGCAACUGUUGCAGUUACAUUUCUUCUGUUUGGUAAUAUGAAGCUGAUAGUUGUAUUUAUGAAUUUUGUUACCUCUUCAGAUAGAGUGGUGAGGUUACCUUCACUAAACAUAAAAUAAUUGUAUAAAUUUAUUAAUUAUUUAAAUUUACUAUUUAUAAAUAAAUAAGUAGAUAUAUAUAUAAUAUUUAUAUUUUUCAAUAAUUCUUCAACUUAUUAAUCGACACAUUUAAAAUUUUUAAUUUAUUUAAUUUUAAUAUGUAAAUCAAACUUUAAAA